GAUAUGAUGAAACCAGGUCAUUGCAAUCCACACGAGAGCUUCAUCAGCCAACAAUCCAAAUGCAGCUUCAUCAGCCAACAAUCCAAACGUGAUUACGUUCAAGGUUCAACGAAGAGCCUUUCAUCCAGAAACUGAAGCAGACAAGAAGAAGCGCUUCCGCAAAAGGUCGGCAUCGUGUCUAGAGUUCGUCAUUGUCGCUUCAAUGGAUUCACGUCGCAACGCACAAAAAAUCAGAACAAAUCGCAGAUUUGUGUAAGCUUUGUGGAUUCACUUGCGUUUCAGUUCAACCUUCACGCUUUGGAUUAAAAACGUGGUUGUUGAUCGCGCGUCUUGGCUCAACAUCGGUCUGCGUUUGCAUCAUUCACCUUCUUCUUUCAUGAAUUUGCCUUUUGGAUUGGAUUGUGUCUAAGAAAGGCGUAGAUAGCUGAAACAAAGGAUAGAAGAUUCUUACCGAAUCGAAGUGGAGGAUGCUCCAACGCGGUAGCUCGACGGCAACAACUUCACACCUAUUUGAGGGUAUCACUUUAACUCCAAGCAAAGAGAGCUUUAAACCAUCAGCUGAACAUUGGCUACAACACUCUCUUAUACUUUUUAUAGCUUUGAUAGUGCUAAAGUUGAAGACUCAAAUUCCAUGUUUGCAUUAAGGUAGUCACGAUUCCACUGCAUAAAGUCAGCUCAAAAAGGUAAUAUACAAGACUUUGAGAGAAGAAGCAUAAAGCAUGCAAUGUUGUUGUCUCCACCAGGAGGCAGAAAUGCAACUGAGCAUGCUAGUGAAAAGGAGGAGGAAAAUGCCAUCGUGUGUUGUGGCCUAAGCUUGGAGGAUUUCGAAGUCUUGUAUCCCAAGUAGGCUAUGUGAAUUGUGAAAUCGUGCACUUUAUGUAAUAGGACUUUAAAUUGUAAUAGAACUCUGUAAUAGAACUUUGGGAUUUUAUUCAAAAUUUUGCCAAACAGUGCACUCUUUGAUUCCUUUUUGAAAGAGAAAUGUAACUUGCCCUUAAAGUAAUGAAAGAGAAAUAAGAUGACUUUGGAAAA